rfam:Amphimedon queenslandica AMPQTscaffold_13212_Cont6150, whole genome shotgun sequence.
GUCAGCGUAGUGUAGCGGUUAUCACGUGUGCCUCACACGCACAAGGUCCCCGGUUCGAACCCGGGCGCUGACA